rnacentral:misc_RNA from 1 species
CCUAAAUUAACAUAAUAUUUUAUUCACCUAUGAAUUUCCAAAUUUCUUAUGUGUAAAUUAUAGUCUUACAAUUUUCUUUAUCAUUUUUUUUUUAUCUUUACUGGACUUUAAUACUUUAUAGCAGACUGGAACACUAGAAUCUGGAACAAUAUUGACUGACAACAGUCUUGGCCGAAAGUAUAUGUGGAUUAUUGUCUGCUGUCUUUAUUUGAAAAAUCAAUUGUUAAAUAAUAUUUCAAACUAUGAGUUCGUCAUCAUUGAUAACCUUUUAACAAUGGCAAAAAAAGAACAUCAAGGUGGAGAUUUCACAACAGCCCAAAGAAUAUGUAAAGGUUUAAUUACACAUAAAUCGAGAGAUUUGAAUGUUCUACUGCUUACAGCCAGUGUAUUUUUCAGUAACCAACAUUUUGAUGAAUGUAUUGGCUACUUAGAACAAGCAAAAAGUAUUAACCCCAAAUGUUCCGAAGUUUUAAGGAACUUUGGAUUGGUUUAUAUGAGAAAAUCCCAAAAGGAUUUAGCAAAUGAAUACGCAAUAAGACCAUAUGGUGUGGAUGCACGGCCAGAUUAUGCAGAAAUUUUGUUUGAAACCAACGAUUUAAUUACGGCUGAAGCAUCUUAUAUACGUGCUAUAAGUCUCAAACCCGAAUUACAUGAAGCACGUAAUAAGUAGGUACGGAAAACUACUUUUAAAAUUAAACAUAAUAUAAGAGGCUAAAAUGGAGUUUAAGAUUGCCCACAAAAGCGCAAAAGAAUGUCCAGAAACAUUAAACAAUUUAGCAGAUGUAUAUUAUAAGAGCGGUAAAUUUGGAAAAUCUAUUUUGAAAUAUAAACAACUCUUAGAAACAAACCCCGAUCGGACGAAUGCUUGUUUUCAGUUGGGAAUGGCAUACUUAAAACUUGAAGACUACCAUAAUGCAAGUGAUGCAUUUAAGAAUGCAAUAAUACUCGAUCCCAAAAAUGUAUUAUUUUUAAGAAAACUAGCAGUUACAGUAGAUAUUUACCAAAAAUGUUUGAACCUCAAGCCUGAGGACUUUGAUUUAAAUUUGGAACUCGCUUUAAUGUAUUACAAUAACAUUCAAAAUUAUAAUGAAGCUGUAAUAUAUCUUAAAAAAUGUAGUCAAUUAAAUCCGGGUAGAAUUGACAUAUACAAAAAGCUUUUUGAAACAUACGGAGAAACUAAAGAUCAUUUAAAUGCAUCCGAUGCUUGCAUAUCCAUGGGGAAUUUGUAUCUGGAGAAGGAUGAUUAUAAAAAUGCAAGAAACUCAUUCUGUUGUGCGGUACUUAUGAACCCGAGCAAUGCAUUUGGUCAUUGGAAAAUGGGCCUGACAUUGUAUCAACUGGGACAUGAGGAAUUGGCUUUUAAAAAGUAAUAAUUAUUCAACACAAUUAUAAGUUUAAAAUGUGCUCUAAGCAUUCUCCUAAUAAUCUUUAAAUUGGUAAAAUUUUACGCUUUUCUCUUACUUCAAUGACCUUUUUAAUGUAUAUUAUACAAGUUACAAUAAGAAACAUAUGUGUAGGUAAUAGGUAUGUGACGUUUACUUAAAUCUCAAAACAAAUUUAUAAUAUUUACAUUUACCAUUUAAUAGUGUGCUUAAACUUUAAAAGAAUAUGUAAUGUACAUCUUUUCUUUGGUAAAUUAUUUAAAAUCAGUCAAAUUUAAAACAAUUUAAAAAAAUUAAUUCUUUAUGAACAAUAAUAUACAAUUUUCUUAAGUAUGAAUUAUAGGUUUAAUUCUGUAAUGGACAAUAUAUGUAACAUGGCCUUCUCGAACAAGCCAAAGUAUUUUAUGAAAUGGCAAUCAAGUUAAGUCCAGACGACCAUGACAACGCUCGGUUAAUUUGGCCGAUAUGUCAAUGAAAAAAACGGAUCUUGAUGACGCUAUGACAAACAAUGAAAAGCAAUAGAAUAUGACAAUACACCUGUCAAGUAGAUGUUAAUUUGAUAUUCCACAUCUUCAAACGACAAUAAUUCAUCCUGGUAAUAAUGAAACAAUUUCUUAAAGACACGGAUUUAAUUAUGGUGUGUUUUACUGUUUUCCAAAUUUUUAGAAAUGAAUAAUUUGUAGUUUAACUUACUGAUUUACUAAAUUCUUCAAAAGCAUUUUGUUAAC